UUGGCAGGGAGGCAGUCUGUCUCUGAUUGGCAGGGAGGCAGUCUGUCUCUGAUUGGCAGGGAGGCAGUCUGUCUCUGAUUGGCAGGGAGGCAGUCUGUCUCUGAUUGGCAGGGAGGCAGUCUGUCUCUGAUUGGCAGGAGGCAGUCUGUCUCUGAUUGGCAGGGAGGCAGUCUGUCUCUGAUUGGCAGGGAGGCAGUCUGUCUCUGAUUGGCAGGGAGGCAGUCUGUCUCUGAUUGGCAGGGAGGCAGUCUGUCUCUGAUUGGCAGGGAGGCAGUCUGUCUCUGAUUGGCAGGGAGGCAGUCUGUCUCUGAUUGGC